rnacentral:rRNA from 1 species
AUCUGGGCGGCGAAAUUCAGGAUGGCUGGGCCGGCCUCGCGUCGGUUCGGCCGUUUGAUGUUUUCGUCGCCACUCGCAGACGUCGCGACCUGUUUGUCGUCGGUCCCUGCUCGGAGGAAUCGCUGUCGAGUUCGUUGCGGGCGCGUUUCGGCGCGUUUCACGGCGAAGACGCGGAUCUCUGGCUGACGACGGACAGUAAGCAAAGGUGGCCGGCGUCGUGUCUCGCACGCGGCGUCGGUGCCGGUCAGCGACGAUUUCUUCGGGCCUCUUUCCGACCCGUCUUGAAACACGGACCAAGGAGUCUAACAUGCGCGCGAGUCGCGGGGUAUCGAGCGUACCACGGUGCGCUCGUUACGUCACGAAACCCGUAAUGUUGAAGGCGUAAUGAAAGUGAAUGGGGAAGAUGGCGUUCCGAGUACACGUUCCGUGAUCUAGUAUCGCGGCCGGACGCCCGCAUUCCCGGGGCGUCUCAACGGCUCGUCGCGAAUGCGGACGGUCGCCUUUCGGGGUGGCCGUCGGUCUGCGACGGACCGA